AUUAUACUACACAGUUUGUGAUAACAAAGGUCACAGCUUGACACACACUCUAAAUCUACAGUGAAAAAAUUAAAGAGAUAAAAGGUCAAUCUUUGCUGUAAAGAAAACUUGAAUCUAACCAAGAAAGGAAAGUCUUAUAAGCUUUUACAUUGUUUCACCAAGGAGCUUUUUGGUUUCACAAAUGUCCCAGGUACUCUUGCUGUAUUGGAUGCUAAAAGGUCAACUUCCGACCAUGGGGUCAACAUCCUAAAGGCCACAGAGAUACUACGAUCUGAUUGGACCGUCGGAUACGCAUGCGCACCAUGCGGGCGGGACGAUUAGAAAAAAGUCGUUACAGAAAUGAGAUCGGACAUGACUACGAGGUUUUACGUAUCGCUUUCUACGCUAAAAAUGGCACAAUGAGUCUGCUAUGGUCGGCCAGCAAUUUGGGAGAGGCUUGUGAGUGUUGGGGGAAUAUGGUGUAAGCUUAAACGGACGGAAAAUGAUCGUGACUGAUGUUUUUGGAUGUACGUUUGGCGGCCGCCCCCCUCCCACCCUGGGCGGCGCACCCCUAACAGGAUUACCAACGUGUACUUCGUACAGCUGCAGUAGAUACCUCCUUCAGAUAUGCAGCACAAGUUGUGAGGGUGGAUAACCAGUCCUGAGUAAAGCAAGCAUCAGCCAGAAGUUUAGCUGCUGACUACUUCAAUGCUGCUACACACUCCAUAGGAACUGGCUCAUCACACAAAGGACUCCAAACUCCUGCCAAGGAGUUCAGGAUUCAGACACAGAGGAAGGCAGCCUGUGCUGGUGUGGACACUACACGGAGUGCUUGGCAGCAGAGGACUAGAAUAUAGAUGAGAAUUUGGAGAGGAUGUUAUAAGUUUACUUACCUAAAUAUUUGUAUCGACAACAACUUUGUUCUUAUAUCUGAUCGCUGUUGGCCAAAGGGCUGCUAACUGACUAAGACCUUCAUAGCUUCUGAAAGUUGUGUUUCAGUGUUGUGCGAUUGUAUGAACCAUGUGAUUAUGAUUUGUGAUACAUUUUACAUAUUUGUCAGUAUUGUAUUGUACCUACACAGGUCACAUUUGAUAAUUCCAUUUGUACCUGCAUAUACUGGUGGUAUUUUGAACCCUCACUUGCAUCUGCCCCUCACCCUUCUCUAAAGAAAAAAAAUUUCUUAGCCAGAUCACUAUAGGCUUGUUUUUAAUCUGUUAUUAAUAUAGAAAUGAUAGGUUAUGAAUUCCCCAAUCUGUGAAGUGAAGAUAAUGAUGAAUUAUUGCUUGGAUAAACAUGCAGCAUUACAUGAUGCUGAUAGGAUCAUGUUGGCAAAGUGUAAAACAAUACAGGCCCCACUGAAUGUCAUAUGUCAUUUAUGCAUUGCAGUUUUUAUCGUCAUGUUACUGUUUCUUUCAUUCGUCUUGAGUUUCUGAUUAUAUAGUGGAACAUUUUGAUUCAUACAUUUGUUAACAGUGACAGCAUAGUCCAACUCAAAAUUCCCCUAUUGCCAUUUGACCAGGCCAGAGUCUGGUAGAAACAAAUAAUGUAUGGCAAAAGUAUUCUUGUAUAUAAUUUCUAAAGCCUGUCUGCACAAUCACGGAGACUGAUGAUAGGUUUAGAUAGUGUGUGAUGAUAAACUGAUGCUACUUUGUUGAAUGUCAUUCAUGAUAUAUAGCUUGUAAACAGGACAGUUGAUUAAUGUCCAAUCAUACUAUGAACAUUACUUUAAACUUGAAUUAUAAGAAAGGGUAACAAUUGUAUAUGGUAAAGCUAGAGCAUUUAUCUGUUUACCCUUUAGAAAACCUGUCAAUGUUGAUAUGUUUAUCCAAUAAAUAUUACUGAGUUCUGCCACAAACCA